CAGGCCACCUGCAGACGGCAAAACUGAA
rnacentral:piRNA from 1 species